UACGGAGGAUGUGAGCGCUAUCCGGAUUUAUUGGGUUUAAAGGGUGCGUAGGCGGACGCUUAAGUCAGCGGUAAAAUUGCGGGGCUCAACCUCGUCGAGCCGUUGAAACUGGGUGCCUUGAGUGGGCGAGAAGUACGCGGAAUGCGUGGUGUAGCGGUGAAAUGCAUAGAUAUCACGCAGAACUCCGAUUGCGAAGGCAGCGUACCGGCGCCCAACUGACGCUGAAGCACGAAGGCGUGGGUAUCGAACAGG
rnacentral:rRNA from 1 species